rnacentral:rRNA from 1 species
UACGUAGGGGGCAAGCGUUGUCCGGAAUCAUUGGGCGUAAAGAGCGUGUAGGCGGCCCGGUAAGUCCGCUGUGAAAGUCCAGGGCUCAACCCUGGGAUGCCGGUGGAUACUGUCGGGCUCGAGUCCGGAAGAGGCGAGUGGAAUUCCUGGUGUAGCGGUGAAAUGCUUAGAUAUGACAUAGAACACCAAUUGCGAAGGCAGCUCACUACACAGUUAUUGACGCUGAGGCACGAAAGCGUGGGGAUCAAACAGG